rnacentral:rRNA from 1 species
AUACGUAGGGUGCGAGCGUUAAUCGGAAUUACUGGGCGUAAAGCGUGCGCAGGCGGUUUUGUAAGACAGUGGUGAAAUCCCCGGGCUCAACCUGGGAACUGCCAUUGUGAAUGCAAGGCUGGCGUGCGGCAGAGGGGGAUGGAAUUCCGCGUGUAGCAGUGAAAUGCGUAGAUAUGCGGAGGAACACCGAUGGCGAAGGCAAUCCCCUGGGCCUGCACUGACGCUCAUGCACGAAAGCGUGGGGAGCAAACAGGAUUAGAUACCCUGGUAGUCCACGCCCUAAACGAUGUCAACUGGUUGUUGGGAAUUUAUUUUCUCAGUAACGAAGCUAACGCGUGAAGUUGACCGCCUGGGGAGUACGGCCGCAAGGUUAAAACUCAAAUGAAUUGGCGGGG